AGAAAUAGUCUGUCUUAAUUAAAGAUAUUGAAUUUAACUUUUGAGUGAAAAGGCUUAAAUGAUCUGAAGGGAAGAUAAGACCCUAUAAAACUUUAUAUUUAAAAGUGGAAGUUAGUUUUAUUUAAAGGUUGCUAUUUUAUAAUAUUUGGUUGGGGCGACAGGGAUAAAAAAGUAACUGUCCUUUUUUUUUUUACAAUAAUAUUUGGUUUAAUGAUCCUAAAAUCGAUGGAAGAUUAAGUUACUUUAGGGAUAACAGCGUUAUUUUCUUUAAGAGUUCUUAUCGACAGGAAAGUUUGCGACCUCGAUGUUGAAUUAUAAGUUCUUUAUGGGGUAGAGGCUAUAAUAGAAGGUCUGUUCGACCUU
rnacentral:rRNA from 1 species